GUAGUCCUAGUAAUUCAAAGAUGGCGGACGAGGAUGUAGAGGAACUUGAACAGAGUUUAUCACAAUUUCGCACAGAGGAACCAAAUACCCACCUCAUCUUAGUAGCUGCUCAGAAGUGCGUCAGUAAUGGAAAGUGGAAACAGCUUGUGGAAAGUUUUACUCGGCCUGAACAUAAGGAUGCUUUGGAAUUUGUUGGCUGGGAACUUAUUGGAGUCAUAUCUCAAGCAGUUGUUGAUGAGUUUGAAUCAGAUGCUUUUCAAGAGUGCAAUAAAAUUCUCAAAAUAAUUGCUGAGAGAUGCAGUGCAAAGGAGGUCUGUAUUGGGAUAUUAGAGCAGCUUGAAUCUGAGACAGCUUGCAACUUGAAAAAGUUUGUUGCUUUGUUGGAAGCACUUCAAAUAGCAAUAGACAGGUUGAAGGAGAGGAAAUCAAAACUUGUUGGUAUGGUGCUACCUUGCAUUACUCAAUAUAUCAGAGGUAUUCAAUUAGCAGAUGAAAUAGUGGAUCAAAAAGAGUCUGGCAGUAGAUGUCCAGCAGUGCCAUGUGUUAUGAAACAUGUACUGGAUUUUCUCAGGCCAUUUGUGCAAGAAGUCAAUAUGAAGUCAUCAUCCUCAGAAAUAUCUUCCUCAAGUUCAUACAUCACUAGUUUGAAAACAGACAUUAGCAAAUGGGGAUGCAAGCAGCGAAAACUGGAAGUAUCCCUCCACGCAGAGAGUUUUGUCUACAGUUUGCAAUAGCAUGAGUUCCUGUCAUAGAAAGUGUUAUCAGUCGGUUAUCAUCUCUUCUAAUGAGACACCUGCCAAAUGUUGUCGUCAGAUCUGUGUCCAACCUAUUUACUGCGUAAGAACUUGUUGCGAAAUCUUGUGGUGGAAAACAGGAUUGUCAUGGCGCCAAGGAAAGGGUUCAUGCUCUUCACUUGCGUCAUCAACGAUAAUGUAUUGUACUUGUUCUUGCAAUACUGGUGUGUCCUAAGUAGCUGUAUUUGUAUAGAAUGUCCUGGUCAAUUCUUCAAGAAAAAUUCAGCUGUGUCAAGUUUCCCAAUGAAUUUAAGAGCGAUUGGAAAGAAGAUCACUUCGGCCAGCUGAUAGAGACAAUUAUGACGAACUGGCAAGUGACCCACCUCAUACAGUUGGAUUUAACACGAAAGAAAUGAUCACGCAGCUUAGUGUUUUGGCCAUCAGAACUGGCAGGUGACACACCUCAUACAGUUUUAUGUAACGCGAAAGAAAUAAUCACACAGCUUAAUGUUUUGUCCAGCAGAACUGGCAGGUGACCCACCUCAUACAGUUCAAUUUAACGCUGAAGUAAUAAUCACGCAGCUCAAUGUUUUCUUUGAUGUAACAUGGCGCUACUGUGAAUCAUUUGCUAGUGCAUCAAUGAGCCAAAUAGCAAGCACAAAACACUGUCCAUAUCUUCCACUACCAGCUGGAUCUAGAGAAAAGUAUUCAAGGUAUUCUGGGUUCAGUUCCCUCAGAUUGAUUUUGGAUUCAUUGGACACAUGUUUUUCUGUGAGACCUUCAUUGCGAUUUUGUUUACAAUAAUAAAAUUAUUAGUUGUUGUUCCUCUUGAGGGUAUUUUCACUUCAGAUUGCUUUAAAGGCUUCCCUGUUUUUUGGAAUCUUUUGAGAAGGUAAUGCAUUUUGAAGGAGACAAGAGAGGUUUUCCUUGUUCACUUGAAGUUCCAAUUGCUAAACUAGUGCUUCAGCGUUCGCUUCCUGUCAUGUAGUGGUCUCUGCAGAUGUAUCCAUUUGAUCAUUAUUUCAUCUGUCACACAAGGGACCUGACCGAAUAAAGGAACUUAUGUCUGUGUGUGAAACAAGAGCACGCAUCAAUUAUAUUUUGAUGGCAUAUAUUAGUUGGUCCUUUGUAUUUCUCUGUUCUCAAAUUUAUUCCCCUUCAUCUGGUGUCCUUCAGAUCUAAUGACAUUUAUAUGACAGUGAAACAGAUUAUAACACCUUGCUCAGCUCAAGGCGAAGGAGCCUGGGGUUAGGUAUGUUAGGAAUGCUAGGAAACUUUCCUAGCAUUCCUCUGUGAUACGUCCAGUUUUUGCCGCUUGUGUCCCCUCAUGCAGUGUUUUUGUUUGCAACCAGAGAUUAGUAUUUUAGCAGUUAGCAGUUAGUGAUCAGUGAUAUUGUUACAUUUCAGUUCAUCGCUCUCAAGUGAUGGCACACUCGUCUGGUGGUUGAUUUUUUUUAGUUUCAAUCAUAGUGCACUUGUAGCAUGUAAUCUAGUAUGCAUCGCAUGAUGUGCAGAACCUGCAUGCUAUAACAAAAGUGGGCACUGUCCUUUGGAAAUGUGGUUAAAGACGCCCUCUUGUGUUUGAUGCCAUUAUUAAAAACCAAGAUUUUAAACCAGGUCACAUUUAAAAAAGGUCCAAAAUUGUACUUUGUUUAAUUACAUAUACUUAUUGAUCACUUUCGUGCAGCUUGAUUCAACUCCUGGAUUACCCACUAGUUUUCUUAGAUUUAACAAAGGAUGGUAUAGAGACGACGGACUCGGAUGACGAGAACAGUGAAUC
rnacentral:misc_RNA from 1 species